GCCAUCACAGGCUAGGAGCCUCUCUGGAGCAGCCUCCUCCCGUCCCUAGAGUGCACAAUCGGUGCCCCACUGGGUCACUGAAGAAGACAGGAUGAAGGUGGCCAUGGCCUGCUUUGCAAGGUACUCACUUCUCAGGACAUGCAUCUGAGCAGCAUCAAAGGGGCCUGGCCAGUCAGGGCAGAGUUACUCUGACGGAGUCUAAGACCAGGCAGGUCUCCUUGUCAUGGGAGAAGCAGGGACAUGCCAGGUCAAGCAGAGAAGUGGCCCCACCUGCUGACCCUGAGGAAGCUGGUCCCAGCGUCUGGCCCUCUGCCCCACACAGCCCUGUAUGAGGACGUGGCCUCAUGUGCCCCUCUCCUUCUCCUUCUUCUUGCUUGUCCUCUGGCUGCUGAGCUCGCCCAGCUUCUUGUCCAGCCUCCUCUGCAGCUGGGCCCUCUUGGCCGGGUCCAGGGCCCUAUCCCUGGUCCCACUGCCUGCAUAGAGCACUCCUUCCCGACUGAUCCUCUGCCGGGCGUGGGCAUGAGCCUUUUCACCGCAGCCGUGGAUCUGAAAAGACACAGGAGUCAGGAAUGGAGUCGUGAAAAACUUAGCAACUGUGAAAGGCUCCAGAAAGUACAUCUCAAAUGUGUGCUGCACGGUACCUCUGCCGAAGCCUUGGAUCUCAACACACAACACGCAUGCUCAGCACUGCCCCACCAUCACACCAGAGUGGCCAGCCUCUGCUGCGAGUCCAGCCACUGGAGGAGCUGGGUGCUUCACUGUAUGUAUGUGACUCCAUUCUCACAAAGGCCUCUUGUUCUAACGACGACAGACACCAGACACCGUGGGGCACUUUCUGCCCAGCGCUCCUCAGAAUUUAUCAAGUGGUACAUCUUUGGGCUGUGUUGUGUUAGACAAGUGUCCAGAUGACUGGAUGCAAAUCUGUUCUCAUCUUUAAUAAAUGGUAAAAUUUCACAUAUUCCAAAGAACUUCUAAAACAAAAUUUUAUGACUUACUAGUAAAUGUUUGAUUGCACAUUAUGUAUCUACAUACUCAGGGCCAGGGAAAUCUCUCAGGAGAAGGCAGUGGGAUGGCUCAUUGGUUAAGAACACUGAUCUCCAACCCUGGCGACUUGAGUUCCAUCUGUGGAACAAAGAACACUGACCCUGCAAGUCAUCCUUGGACCCCCAGCUGUGCUACGGCACAUGCACGCACAUGUACACAAUAAAUAAAUGUGAGUGUCUUAA